AUUUGUUUGUCAGUAAUUGGAACAAAAUCCAAACGUGGAUACGAUAUAUAGCGUAUCUCAGUAACUUAUUUGGGCCCUUCAGUUCAUUACACCCCUUUUAAAUGAGGGCAGUGUCUCUGUUGUAUAUUCCUCCAUAGUUAUUAGACCAGAAAUUCUCAGUCCCCAACGAGCAGUGAUGGAAAACUGAAGAAAGGCCUUGCGUUUAUUCACAGAGACCUACAACAACUUCUUACAUAACUACUGUCACUCUGACUUGAAAUAAAACAGUCUUUAUGCUUACAGGUGGCAGAAGAACAAAGAUCUACCUACAUUCAGCUCACAGAGGACACAGCCUACUGCUUCCUUGUGCAUCUCAGUGUGUGAAGCUUACCAUUAAGCACCUCAACUGGAAGCAAUGUGCAACGCUGUGGAGACCCUAAACAGGGCAGAGAAGAAGGGGGAGCACAGAGAAGACCAUGACUGAGGAAGAGGCGUAUUUCAGAUUCAUUGCCCCGCUCCUACUUGAUAUUCAUCAGCACUGGAUUAGCAGAGAAGGGCUGCUCUGACUUCCAGCUUCAGUCAAAUGAAAACAUCGUGUUCUAACAGACAUUCAACCCACAGCCAGCAACCUUUCGACAUCUACUAACCACAGUUCAAAGUGACCAAGAUAUCAUAAGGUAUGUUCAACAACAGAAAAGGUAAGAAAGUGUGGUGUGAACUGGUCUGAAGCGUUCAGGACAAUUACAGAUUAAAGUUUCCCCGUAACCUGACAGGAACUAAAAAUUCAUAGAAAGCAUUGCAAGUAUGUGAACAUGGUUUAAUAAGUGUGCUUUGAAAAGAUCUGUGAUUUCACAAGGAAAACUCGAGGUAAAAAAGACAACAGUGUCAAAUGCUUGUUGAGAAACUACUGAAAUACCUACAGCACCAGUGAAGUGAAAGCGAAAGGCAUUAUCAGAUCUUUCUGCAUCUAAAAGAUGGGUCAAACAGUCAAAGAGACAGAAGAAACAGCAAUAGACAGCUGGGCCUACAGAAUCAUAGGGUGUAUUUAUAACAGAAUUUAUUGUUAUUAUUUACAUUUGUGCAGCACCUUUUAGCCAGAUGCCAAAAGCACUUUAAUCGUGUAUAAUAAGCCUCACAACAACCCUGUGAGGUAGGUAGAUAUUGCUGUUUUAAUCAUGGUAAAACCAGUUAAAUAACUUACCCAGGAAGUCAGAGCAAAUCAGCAGAGCAGGCUAGCAUCCAGAUCAUGGGAGCUAUAAGUUUAACAUUACAGCACAUAUGGGAGACUUAUGUGACCCUUGUUAAAACCGUGAAAGAGGCACUGAGAUGUGAAUUGAUUCAAGUUUUCUGUAAUUAGGUUUUUAUGGAAAGGUAUCAAGAGAAAAAUGUGCUUUGAGCAACUAGAGAAAACAGCCUGAGUAUCAAGAGUAACAUCACUGCUCUAAUUCCUCCAUUGUAGGAGAUGCUAAAUACAGUAGCAGGCUAACUACUUUUACUUGCCAAAGUGUAUAAAAAUAGACUACUUGGUUUAAUCCACUAAAACAAACUAUUCUCACAAGUGUUACAGGCUAUGACCUCUAAACACUGUGGGCUGGCAGACUUUUUAUCCAGCUCUCCUAUUUCUGAUAUUUAAAUAAGCAGAUGCAGGACACAGAAGUGAUAAGAAAUAGUCUCAGAACCAAAAUUUCUUUUUGACCAACUUGAACUGAUAAUAUCAUAGCUUCUAUGAGCAAACUGUCAAAGCACACCUUCCCCAGUUCAUCUCCAAGUCUGACUGUCUGCCAAACAGACAUAAGAGAGAACAGAGUACUUAAGUCAGAGCUUGCCAUAUCAAAUGGAAACACAAAGUAUUCAGUUACUUCAGCAAGGUCUGUGUACAUCGAUGGCAAUAAUUCAGAUGAUAUACUAAGUGCUGAGUACUGCUUUACAACCCGUUUCACUAGGAAACCAAGCCACAUGGAAAAAGAAAGAAGACAGCAAGUAACAAACACUGUCAUAAAAAGAAGUAACCACAGCAGUAAGGUCUGCACUUAGAAGUUUAGUAUCACAUAAUAAACUAGCAUAUGCAAGGCAAGGUUUUGUUCACGUGGCUUACAAACAGCAAUUUCUACCCAAAGGGUUGGGAGCAACUAAAAAGAUCACAUUCCUCAAGACAGGCUAAAAGGGAAAUUUAGAGAUUUCUAAAAAUUUUGUAGAGAAAAUAUGCUAAAGGGCUCCAUUUUUUUUUCCCCACAAGGCCACAAUCAUAACCUUCACCUAGCACCCAGUAAUAGAACAUCACUAUGUAAUGGUAUUUAUCUCAGGCUUAGGUAGUUCGGUGGACAAAACUCUCCAGUUAAAGACAACACGCUGGGAAACAGCUCCCACUUUCCUCUCUCCUUUUCUCUGUGACGCAAAGAGGAACUAAGUUAUCAUGUUCAAGAGGAAAGCGAUACGUUUGUUUUGACACCAGGAAAGAUGUAGCUCACAGAUAACUGAAGAUUUAGCGAUUUCCAGAUUUAAAUAGCCACGACAGUAAAAGCCAAUUAAAAGCAAUGCUAAACAAAGAUGUAUCACAAGCCAACUUUCCCAGCUCAAGGCUGCAAAGAGAAUACGUAUUCAAGGGAAACUUGACAGCAGAAAACUAAGAUUCCCAAGGAAAUACAGCUCUGGGGAAGAACACUCCCUGUAUAUUUUAAAGCUGCAAUUAAAGAAGCAUCCAGAUAAUUUCUCCAGCUAUCUCCAGCGAACUUACAAAGUUUAAUUUACAUUCACACCAUUAAAAGAAUGCUUGAGAAAAUACAUUGUUCUAUAUUUACUUCAACAGUACUGGACAUACACAGCUUUAACGCUGAAAACAGCGCACAAUUAUGGGAUUCCCCUCCCCCUUGAAGAGAAGAAUUUGGAAAUAGGAAGUUAUUUCAUCUUAAAGCUAUAAAUGGUUGGAUAUAUGGAGAAAGGCAGCUAUAAGCAUGUUGCUUAUCAGUUACAUCAGUAACUCUGAGUUCUGAGAGAAGUUACUAGAACCACUACAGUUGAAAACUGAAGUUUUAACUGGAGUUCAACAAAAAUCUCCUCAUUAGUUAAGUUUCUGAACAGUAACUUCUUCCAUUUCUUUCAGACUGAGCCCUUUCCAAGUGCAACCUUUACCAAAACUCCGCCGGUCACUUUCAUCCAUUUUUUUUCCUUUGUAACAGAAUAAUAUAUUCUAUUUUUCUUAUAUUUUGAGUGUAGUUGUAGACAGAUACACAUGCACACAAGCAUGAGGCAGUGAUCUUAAUGCCAACUGCCUCUUGCUCAAGUUUACCUUGUUUUAUGUGGUUAACACAUGAGCUGGAUAGAAGCUUAUCUUCAUUCCUUGAAGGAGCACUUAAGAAUUAUAUCCUGGACCACUUAAGCCUUGUCACCAUUUGUAUCUGAACACAGUACUGAUUAUAAAUUAGUUAGAAUGACUAAUGGUAAUGUCUGCCCUUCAGUCUCAGAUUGUGGUUCAAGACAAUGACUCAGAGAAGAAACCUCAUACUGGUAACAGUACUUUCUGAUGAAAGAUUUACAAUGUAGCAUGGACUUUCUGAGGUGGUCUUAUUCACCUCUUAGUCUUAAAUCCCACAGAAAUCAGGUAAAGUUUCAUGUAAUCCUCAAACUAAGUUAAGAUUCUAAAGGCUAAACUCCGUAGCAAAUUAUGCAGGGUACAAGAGGCUAACAGAUAAAGAUGUAGGGCCCUAAAAGGAGAAAUCCACAUCUGGAUGUGUUAGUGCAUUCAUAAUCUCCCAAAUAUGUCCAGUCACCGACACCCCACUAAGCACAGACGACUAGAAACAAAAUAGUGCAAGUUCAAGGGUAUUUCAUUAGGUACAUCCAUCAUUUAGGUUGCACUACUACAUCUGGCUAUAAACUGUAACGUACAACUUUGUUACAUUCCCAUAACCCCAAUUUGAUUUCAGAAGCUUCAAAAAUGUACUGCCAGGAUACACUCGGAUAUGUAAUUUAAUGUGAAAUAAGACAGGACACCUAUACCAUGCAGUUUUGCCACUCAUCGCCGAUUACCAAUCUUCAUGUGAAACAGAAUAAAUACCUCAGUUUUUAAUCUAGGAAACCCAGGACCCCACCACUACAGUGUAGCAGGUAGAAGACUUGACACAAGAGAAAUGUGCAGCUAAAAGAUGCCCAUAAAAAGUAUGUGUAUUGGUAAAAAAUAAAAACUAUAUAUAUAUCAGUUACAGGAAACUAAAAAAAUAGCCACAUUAGAGUGGAUUUUGCAGCACAUGGCUCUGUUCACACGCUCAGUGCACUCAGAGGGAACACAAAUGCUGCUGUUUUACAUAAGUAAAUAAUCCCAACUUUGCUGGGGUCUCUAGAAGCUCAUGAGUUGUACUAACACAUUUUCCCAUCCAUUCCAGAACUCAGCAUCCAUCCCACACCCUCCCUGAACACGUGACUCACAGAAAUAGUCAGUUCUCUCUGGAAGAAAAGAUGUUAAAAGAUCCAAGCAUCCACAGAAAGCCAUUCAAAUAAGUUUGUACGUAUGAAUAAAAAAAA